CCUACGGGCGGCAGCAGUGGGGAAUUUUGCACAAUGGGGGAAACCCUGAUGGAGCAACGCCGCGUGAAGGAAGACGGUUUUCGGAUUGUAAACUUCUGUUCUUAGUGAAGAAUAAUGACGGUAGCUAAGGAGCAAGCCACGGUGCAUUACGUGCCAGCAGCCGCGGUAAUACGUCGGUGGAAAGCGUUGGCCGGAAUUACUGGGUGUAAAGGGAGCGCAGGCGGGAUGUCAAGUCAGCAGGUAAAACUACGGGCUUAAAUUGUAGACUGCAGUGGAAACUGGUUUACUUGAGUGAAGGAGAGGUGAGCGGAAUUCCGUGUGUAGCGGUGAAAUGCGUAGAUAUUCGGAGGAACACCGGUGGCGAAGGCGGCCAUCUGGGCUGUAACUGACGCUGAGGCUCGAAAGUGUGGGGAGCAAACAGGAUUAGAUACCCGAGUAGUC
rnacentral:rRNA from 1 species